ACAUGUUUUUGGAGUGGCGAGGAACCCUUUAGAAACUAUUUGGGGUGGGUUUUGAAAGUCUCUUGUGAGGAUUCCACUGCUUUUGAAUCUGGUGCCUUAGGUAAAGCUCUUCGCGUAGAUUUCUGUUACAGUAACACCAAAUAUAGCAGGGAAAGUGAAGAGCACUGGCUAUGCUGAUUUAGUAACGAGUUUCCUCUACAGCAAAGUUGUGAUUAGUUACUGUUUCUUCUUAGGACAAACCUAUCUUGGGCUGUGGGUUUCUUUCCCAAUAAUUCACCAUUUAUUAUAGCAAUGCCUAGUAAAACUAGCUUAUGUUAUCUCUAGGCAUACUUAAAAAAACCCAAACAGUUUGAUUACUUCCUGAUCGUGUUUAAGAUGGAAUCUGAGCAAAAUGCCUCUCCCUGGCCCCACUCAGCACAGCAGAAUAACAGUGUGCAGUGCUCAGAGAAAUGAGUAUGUCAAGACCCAGAGAGUGAAUCUAGAUUUCAGCUCUGAAUUACUAAUAGUUCGUGGCUUUGAAACGUUGCCAGAUGUUAGCACUUACAAAAGAAGCUCCUGUCAGUGUAAAUUAAAACAGAAGAUUCUCCUCUUUUCUGCCAUGUUCAGCUGCUGAUAGAAGUUAUUCAUUCACAUGGAUCGUGGAAGGGUGGAGGUCCUUUGGAGGAAGACUCAAAUGACGUGACACAAAGC